rnacentral:rRNA from 1 species
UACGUAGGUGGCAAGCGUUGUCCGGAUUUACUGGGCGUAAAGAGCGCGCAGGCGGUCGUUUAAGUCGAAUGUGAAAGCCCCCGGCUCAACUGGGGAGGGUCAUUCGAUACUGAUCGACUCGAAGGCAGGAGAGAGAAGUGGAAUUCCCGGUGUAGUGGUGAAAUGCGUGGAUAUCGGGAGGAACACCAGUGGCGAAGGCGACUUCUUGGCCUGUUCUUGACGCUGAGGCGCGAAAGCUGGGGGAGCAAACGGG